rnacentral:tRNA from 1 species
CCCAGUGUGGUGUAGUGGUUUGAGCAUUGGACUAGGACUCUGGAGAUUGGGGUUCGAUUCCCUGCUCAGCCA